AACGAACGCUGGCGGCAGGCUUAACACAUGCAAGUCGAACGCCCCGCAAGGGGAGUGGCAGACGGGUGAGUAACGCGUGGGAAUCUACCGUACCCUACGGAACAACAGUUGGAAACGACUGCUAAUACCGUAUACGCCCUUAGGGGGAAAGAUUUAUCGGGGUAUGAUGAGCCCGCGUUGGAUUAGCUAGUUGGUGGGGUAAAGGCCUACCAAGGCGACGAUCCAUAGCUGGUCUGAGAGGAUGAUCAGCCACAUUGGGACUGAGACACGGCCCAAACUCCUACGGGAGGCAGCAGUGGGGAAUAUUGGACAAUGGGCGCAAGCCUGAUCCAGCCAUGCCGCGUGAGUGAUGAAGGUCUUAGGAUUGUAAAGCUCUUUCACCGGUGAAGAUAAUGACGGUAACCGGAGAAGAAGCCCCGGCUAACUACGUGCCAGCCGCCGCCGUAA
rnacentral:rRNA from 1 species